GCCCAGGUGGCGGAAUUGGUAGACGCGCUAGCUUCAGGUGCUAGUGCCCGAAAUGGGCGUGGAGGUUCGAGUCCUCUUCUGGGCACCA
rnacentral:tRNA from 1 species